UACGAAGGGGGCUAGCGUUGCUCGGAAUCACUGGGCGUAAAGCGCACGUAGGCGGAUCUUUAAGUCAGGGGUGAAAUCCUGGAGCUCAACUCCAGAACUGCCUUUGAUACUGAGGAUCUCGAGUCCGGGAGAGGUGAGUGGAACUGCGAGUGUAGAGGUGAAAUUCGUAGAUAUUCGCAAGAACACCAGUGGCGAAGGCGGCUCACUGGCCCGAUACUGACGCUGAGGCACGAAAGCGUGGGGAGCAAACAGGG
rnacentral:rRNA from 1 species